rnacentral:lncRNA from 1 species
CUGGUGAGGUGGGACUUCAAUGCCUUUUAGGUUUACAGUCUUUUCCUCCCCACGGCUUCUCUUUCCUCCCCGUCUCAGGCACUGGGCAUUUCCAGUCGAUCCAGCAGGUCUGGCUUCUCUCACAUAUGCAGUAAGGGUUAGGGGAGAAGGUCCCAGCUCCUCUUGUCUCUAGCAGAGUGUAAACUGGCUCUGCUGAGGAGGUGGCUGUGCUUUUAUUCCUUCUCCUGAGAACUGUUUAUAUAUUAAGGAGCUUCACAGCCUCCAACAUAAGGAAAGCAGGCCUCAAACUUCUUCAUGGGAAAAGAUGGCUUCUCUUUUUUAAUUGAAUGAACUAGAAGAAGUUCAUUGUUAUUCAUCAACUUCAAAGAGACUAUAUGAGGCCCCUUGGCCAGGACUACAGAGCAGUAUUUUUUAAUCAGAAAUUAUAGCCAAAAAGAAGAGACCAGAACACAUGGGUCUCCAGCGUACCAGGAUUUGUGAAGGCCUGAAGUUCGUAGAAUGAAAUCUAUGUGGAGAUGAUUUAAAAGAACGGUUUCACUGCUAAAAUCCUUUCGAAAUGAGUUCCUUUAAGUUCUUCAGUAACUAAAUCCUCCAGAAAGGAAAGCCGAGAGAAUCUAGUCCUAUACAAUAACACCCUCUAACAAAGAUCGCUAAAGGAAGAUUUUAGUAGAUGAAUAUCUUCAAUAAUACAUGGUCACAUACAUGUAUCUGACCAUAUGAUGGCUCUCUGCACCAAAUUCCUCCAAACUAUUAUAAUAUGUAUUGUCUGUAGUGCUA